rnacentral:lncRNA from 1 species
UAAAAUGGGGGUAAGGCUAGCCGACAUUCACCUCUCCCAGACCCUGCGUAAAGCGGGAGCCUUGUGCACUGGGUACGACCUUUUUAUUGUGGUGUUUCGAUUCUAAAAUUCUUCGUAUUUUAAGAGAUCUUAUUUGUGGAGGGUUUUGGAUCCUUUUAAACGUGGGGUUAUAGGUGUUUUGUCCAGCUUCAUAAAAUUUGUCUCUGUUUUUACAGUUGUGAUCGGGAGGGGCAAAAAUUUGGCCCUUUUUACGUUUGAAUCCGUCUGGGAUUGACAAGAUUCAGAGUACUUAUUAUCAAAUUGGUCACACGGACCACUACGAGGAAGACAUCGUCCAAACCCUCUACAUAAGCAUCGAGGUAAAUCUCGCUUCUGCUCUGCUUCACAAAUUAUUUGUUAUUUUCCGUAAUAUAUGUUGAUUUCUAGAACCCUCUACAUAAGCAUAGAGGGAGAUGAUGACAUAAAGUAUUAAGUUUAAUUGUGAUUUUAAUUUUUUUUAUGCUGUUAGUAGAUGAAUCCAUCUGUUGGUUGAAGUGAUAGGUGUAAUUAGGCCUGACAUUUUGACCCAACCCGUUAACCCGACCCGACCCAACCCGUUAAUAUUUGUAUUUGGGUGGAUGCUUAACGGGUCGGGUCGCUAACGGGUGAACCCGUUAACAACCCGUUAAAUAACGGGUCACUUUGGGUCAACCCGUUAGACCCGUUAGGACCCGUUAACAUCCGUUAGCACCCGUUAGUUGAGGAUAUUUUAGUAAUUUUAGUAAAGUCUUAAUAACAAAAAAUAAACUUUAUGCAAAAAAAUAAAUAAUAAUAAUUGUUAACGGGUGAUAACGGGUGACUCGUUAGCUUAACGGGUCGGGUUCGGGUGACCCGUUAGCUUAACGGGUUGGGUUCGGGUGACCCAUUAACUUAACGGGUCGGGUUGAACCCGACCCAAACCCAAUAAACCCGACCCGUUUACAGGUCUAGGUGUAAUAAAAUGAAUAUGCCAAGGUGUAAAUAGUUGGAGGUUUAUGGUAUUUUGCAGGUUUUCUGUUGGUUCAUGGUUUUGGUUUCAUCAGAGGCAUAGAGAGUAUACACUGAGACAAAUAGGUGGGAAGACAGAACAAGGGAAGGGGAAAGGGCCAUUUUUUUAAAUUGAUUUGGGGUGGGUUUGAGGUUGUGAUGUUUCUGUAUUUAAUUUGGUAUUUCAUAGUUUGGGGUUGAGUCGUUAUUUUUUUGGACAUUAUGAUCUCAUUUGUGAUUAUCAAGUGCAUAAUGGUUAAUUGCAAUUUUCAAUUCUUUAUGCUAUUAGUAGUUAAAAUUAGGGGAAUGGCUCCAAUUUUGUUAGUCAAUUAAUUUAAUUUUUUGUGUAUCUCAAGCUUCUAAUUGAUUUCCUGCAUCAUUGCUUAGUUUUAUUCAUUAAGAUUUGAGUGGUUAAUUUUUUUACCUUAUGACCCCAUUUGUGAUUAUCAAGUACAUAAUGGUUAAUCGUAAUUUUCAAUUCUUUACGUUUUUAAUGGUUAAACUUAGGGGAAUAGCUCCAAUUUUGUUGUUCAAUUAAUUUAAUUUUUGUAUAUCUCAAGCUUCUAAUUGAUUUCUUGCAUCAUUGCUUAGUUUUAUUCAUUGAGAUUUGAGUGGUUAAUUUGGAUCAAACUCUAAUGAUUUUCCUUUGCAACAGUUGUGGUCCUCCGUUAGGAUUUUCCUGGCACAGAGUAUAUUUUCCGUUUUGGUUGCUCAGUUGCUCAAUCACAAAUUUGCAAAUAGCUCUGGUGGUGCUAUUAUUUUUGGGUAUAUUUUAUGUAAUUCCCCCCCCUGUUUGAUCACACAUUUAUGAAUGUUGGAUUAAAAUGUGUUUAUUUUUGGAAAGAAAUGAGACGGCUGGUUAGAGUUUUAGAAACCUUUGUUUUUCUUGCGUUUUAUGGCAAUGAGAAGAAGGAGGAAAACAUUGAUCUUAAUUGUAAUUUUCAGUUAUUUACACAGUUAGUGUUGAAACCUUUGUUUUGUAGACAAAUAGAUGACAUGUGAACAUUUGCAAAUCCAUGUUAUUCUCUAAGUUGUUUUUUAUUUUCCAAUGUAUUUUUUUCUUCAUAUCAACCUGGAUGAAAUGAUUGUUGGUGGUUUUUAACCAGAUGCUUGGUUUUAAAACGAUUAAUCCUGUUAAGAAUAAAUAAUUGCUUGGGGUAUAAAAUGUGUAUUGUAAUUGUUUUCGGUUGAUAUGUUGUUUGCUUUGUAUGUUGUUUGGAGCUAAGCGUAAAAUACUUAUACGUAUAUUUGACAAGAAAGGUAACCAUUGACAAUUAAUUCUCUGGUGGCUUAUUUCAUGCUUUAGUUUGGAAACUCUUAUUUUUGUCAUAUAUAGAAUAUUGGCACAGCGUGCAAAUACAUUAUCGAUGGACUUCUAAAUGGUGGUUAUUUAGUUUAUAAAUUUGUAAUGCAUGAGCUCUCUAACCUUGAGCAUUUCACCAUCAUGACAUCAUAUGGCCAUGAUCCUGUUGGACACGUGUUGUUUGCAUGUUUUCUUAUAUUACAGUUGUCGUAUAACAUGCCUCUCGUACGUGUUCCCCUUAUAUUUGUUAGUUUAGUAGGAUGUACAACAAUGAAACGAAUUCUCUUCAUUUCCAUUCUUGCAUUUAAUUUUUGAAGUCAGUUUAUGGUAAAUAAUAUUCAAUUUUCGUUGUCUUCAAUUCUACUGAGUUGCAGUUUAUGAAACUACUUUUUUCUCUCUCUUAGAGCAUCCCCAGUGAGGGGAUCUAUACCGGGCUGUAAAAGUAGUGAAUAUAGCUCAUUUUAGAGCUCUGAGGAAUCUUUGGGGCUUUAUAAAAGAAUCUCUCCCAAUGAGGGGUUAUAUUUUUCGGGCUCUAUA